UGCGGGCCCACCUGCCAGUGCACUCAUUACCAGUUUACGCUUCCGUUAGACAUGGGAAGACGUUUCGUAAGUCGGGUUGCGUAUUUGUGGGAAAUACGCCUACGAGGGUAAAAUCUCUCGAGCUCUACCCGAAUGCCGCACGCGGAGCUCGCCUGUUGAACCCGCCGCCUCCGCUUCACUUCCAAUUCGAAUCGCCUCCGCCGCGCCGCCGCCAUCAGCUUUGCUUGCUUCUUCUAGAAUUCCUCGGCCUGCCGAAUCGAACGCUCCACCGCCUCGGCGCACCCUCACCGGAGCCGGGCCCCCACCGCCCGCCGCUAAACCCUAGCUGCCGCCGGCGACCGCCGCCAUGAGCCGCUUCGACGGCCGUGCGGCGGACCCCAGCUCCUACCGCGACCGCCGCAGUGAGGGGGCGUUCGGUGGCGGGACGAGGGCGUUCGCGCCGUCGGGAAAGCCGGAUGCUGCCGCCGCGGCGGCCGCGGCGGAGCUGGACGGGCUGCCGCGGUUCGAGAAGAACUUCUACGUGGAGGUUCCCGCGGUGGCCGGCAUGACGGCGGAGGAGGUCGAGGCCUACCGCCGCCGCCGGGAGAUCACCGUCGAGGGCAACGACGUGCCCAAGCCGGUGCGCGACUUCCGCGACGUCGGCUUCCCAGAAUACGUGUUGCAAGAAAUCACAAAAGCUGGCUUUACAGAACCUACCCCUAUCCAGUCACAAGGUUGGCCAAUGGCACUGAAGGGGCGUGAUCUUAUUGGCAUUGCUGAAACAGGAUCUGGAAAAACACUUGCUUACCUUUUACCUGCCAUUGUUCAUGUUAAUGCUCAGCCUAUUCUAGCUCCUGGUGAUGGUCCGAUUGUUCUUGUGUUAGCCCCUACACGUGAACUUGCUGUCCAGAUACAGCAGGAGACAACAAAAUUUGGUGCAUCAUCAAAGAUAAAAAGCACAUGCAUAUAUGGUGGUGUCCCAAAAGGUCCUCAAGUUCGUGAUCUUCAAAAAGGUGUUGAAAUUAUUAUAGCCACGCCAGGAAGACUAAUUGAUAUGAUGGAAUCACAUCACACAAAUUUGCGGAGGGUCACAUACCUUGUUUUAGACGAGGCAGAUCGAAUGCUAGACAUGGGUUUUGAACCUCAGAUUAAGAAAAUUGUUUCUCAGAUUCGUCCAGAUCGACAAACUCUUUACUGGAGUGCUACCUGGCCAAAGGAAGUUGAGCUGCUAGCAAGGACUUUCCUUUUUGAUCCAUACAAGGUUAUAAUUGGUUCUGAAGAACUGAAAGCUAAUCAUGCCAUUUGUCAGCAUGUAGAGAUAUUAUCUGAGAGCCAGAAGUAUAACAAGUUGGUCAAUCUACUGGAGGAUAUAAUGGAUGGCAGCCGAAUUUUAAUAUUCAUGGACACCAAGAAAGGGUGCGAUCAGAUCACCAGACAGCUUCGAAUGGAUGGUUGGCCUGCUCUGUCUAUCCAUGGUGACAAGAGCCAAGCUGAAAGAGAUUGGGUUCUUUCUGAAUUCAAGUCAGGGAAAAGCCCCAUUAUGACAGCUACUGAUGUUGCUGCUCGAGGCUUAGAUGUUAAGGAUGUCAAGUAUGUCAUUAACUAUGACUUUCCGGGGUCUCUGGAGGAUUAUGUUCAUCGCAUUGGUCGAACUGGCAGAGCUGGAGCAACAGGGACAGCCUACAGCUUUUUCACGGCUGCUAACGCCAGAUUUGCCAAGGAUCUUAUUAGCAUUUUAGUUGAAGCCGGACAGAAGGUCAGCCCUGAAUUAGCUAAUAUGGGCCGUGGUGCACCACCUCCUUCUUUGGGUCAUCGUGAUAGAUACAGAGGGCAUGGAGGUGGUCGUUCAUGGAGCUGACAUUAAAAUAUUCAGUUGUUGCAAACAGCGAUAUUUGACCUUUCUUUGUGGAUGAUCAUGUAUUUCUGGCUCACUGGAUCUUUUGGCUAGUGUCCGGUAAAGGUGGAUUUAUUUACUUUGGAUACCAUGCUGUGUUGACUGAAACUUUUUCACCCAUUCUGUCUAAUAGCUAGAAAUGUGUCACAAUCAUGCAGUUUCAGUAGAAAAUAGUUCAGCUGUCAGUUUUGCUGAGUCACAGCGAAACUCAUAUUUUGGGUCCCAUCAAUGUCAAUACAUGACCUAAUUUAUUUCCAUAAUACCGCAUUCACCUACGUUGGGUCCGUAAUACUGAAUAUCAAUGCAUC
rnacentral:rRNA from 1 species